CCUACGGGAGGCAGCAGUGGGGAAUUUUGGACAAUGGGCGAAAGCCUGAUCCAGCAAUGCCGCGUGAGUGAAGAAGGCCUUCGGGUUGUAAAGCUCUUUUGUCAGGGAAGAAACGGUGAAAGCUAAUAUCUUUUGCUAAUGACGGUACCUGAAGAAUAAGCACCGGCUAACUACGUGCCAGCAGCCGCGGUAAUACGUAGGGUGCAAGCGUUAAUCGGAAUUACUGGGCGUAAAGCGUGCGCAGGCGGUUUUGUAAGUCUGAUGUGAAAUCCCCGGGCUCAACCUGGGAAUUGCAUUGGAGACUGCAAGGCUAGAAUCUGGCAGAGGGGGGUAGAAUUCCACGUGUAGCAGUGAAAUGCGUAGAUAUGUGGAGGAACACCGAUGGCGAAGGCAGCCCCCUGGGUCAAGAUUGACGCUCAUGCACGAAAGCGUGGGGAGACAACAGAUAGAUACCUAGUAGUCACGACCCUAACCGAUAGUCUACUAGUUGUUCGGUUCGUUAAUUAGUACGUUAGGUACGUACGAGCGUACGACGU
rnacentral:rRNA from 1 species